GCCUGGCUGGCUCAGUUGGUAGGUGGAGCAUGUGACUCUUGAUCUUGGGAUUGUGAGUUUGAUCCCCAUGUUAGGUG
rnacentral:tRNA from 1 species